GCGGAAAUAGCUCAGUUGGUAGAGCACAACCUUGCCAAGGUUGGGGUCGCGGGUUCGAGUCCCGUUUUCCGCU
rnacentral:tRNA from 14 species